rnacentral:rRNA from 1 species
AGUUUGAUCAUGGCUCAGAUUGAACGCUGGCGGCAGGCCUAACACAUGCAAGUCGAGCGGUAGCACAAGAGAGCUUGCUCUCUGGGUGACGAGCGGCGGACGGGUGAGUAAUGUCUGGGGAACUGCCUGAUGGAGGGGGAUAACUACUGGAAACGGUAGCUAAUACCGCAUAACGUCUUCGGACCAAAGUGGGGGACCUUCGGGCCUCACGCCAUCAGAUGUGCCCAGAUGGGAUUAGCUAGUAGGUGGGGUAAUGGCUCACCUAGGCGACGAUCCCUAGCUGGUCUGAGAGGAUGACCAGCCACACUGGAACUGAGACACGGUCCAGACUCCUACGGGAGGCAGCAGUGGGGAAUAUUGCACAAUGGGCGCAAGCCUGAUGCAGCCAUGCCGCGUGUGUGAAGAAGGCCUUCGGGUUGUAAAGCACUUUCAGCGAGGAGGAAGGGUAGUGUGUUAAUAGCACAUUGCAUUGACGUUACUCGCAGAAGAAGCACCGGCUAACUCCGUGCCAGCAGCCGCGGUAAUACGGAGGGUGCAAGCGUUAAUCGGAAUUACUGGGCGUAAAGCGCACGCAGGCGGUUUGUUAAGUCAGAUGUGAAAUCCCCGCGCUUAACGUGGGAACUGCAUUUGAAACUGGCAAGCUAGAGUCUUGUAGAGGGGGGUAGAAUUCCAGGUGUAGCGGUGAAAUGCGUAGAGAUCUGGAGGAAUACCGGUGGCGAAGGCGGCCCCCUGGACAAAGACUGACGCUCAGGUGCGAAAGCGUGGGGAGCAAACAGGAUUAGAUACCCCGGUAGU